rnacentral:rRNA from 1 species
AACGCGAAGAACCUUACCAAGGUUUGACAUGGACCGAAAACUCAUGGAGACAUGGGGUCCUUCGGGGCGGUUCACAGGUGGUGCAUGGCUGUCGUCAGCUCGUGUCGUGAGAUGUUGGGUUAAGUCCCGCAACGAGCGCAACCCUCGUCCAAUGUUGCCAGCGGGUUAUGCCGGGGACUCAUUGGAGACUGCCGGGGUCAACUCGGAGGAAGGUGGGGAUGACGUCAAGUCAUCAUGCCCCUUAUGUCUUGGGCUGCAAACAUGCUACAAUGGCCGGUACAGAGGGCUGCGAACCUGUGAGGGUAAGCGAAUCCCGGAAAGCCGACCUCAGUUCGGAUUGGAGUCUGCAACUCGACUCCAUGAAGCUGGAAUCGCUAGUAAUCGCGGAUCAGAACGCCGCGGUGAAUACGUUCCCGGGCCUUGUACACACCGCUAGUC